GGGAUUGUAGUUCAAUCGGUCAGAGCACCGCCCUGUCAAGGCGGAAGCUGCGGAUCAGUCCUG
rnacentral:tRNA from 1 species